UCUAUGGUGUCUGCAGCUCUCCAUAACUUAGUUGCAGGCAACCUAAAAAGGAGGAGUUAUUCCCCAUGCUCGGGGUGCGGCAUUGUGGAGACAUGCCGUAAAAGGUGCACGCUUUGCGGCACUGAGGGCAUACGGACGGAGGUCCGGUGUCCGGAGCAGAGAAUUAUGGCA
rnacentral:ncRNA from 1 species